UGUCGAGCUCGAUGCGUGUAUUGUGCCACUACCACUACAGCAAUGACGAUUGAUGCAAGUCACCAAGCCGGAACGUAAACGAACGCGUCUGUGUGCACCGACACAUAUAAGGCAGAGUAAACAAAAUAAACACAUUAAAAUUUAAAACGACAAAUGUCUUCAUUAGCAUGACCUAGAUAAACAAUUUAUGGUGGUUUAAUGAUUAAAUGGAAUGAAAAUUGCUUGUUAUACAUGGGCUGAGUUACAGCGUUACAGGUUAUACCAAAUGGCACGACUACUGUUAACCCCAUUUUAAUAUUUGCAUUUCUUCGCUGAAUUUUCUAUUUAUUGCGACGCAAUAUGCAAUAUCUCAUAAAAUAUUUAUCCUACAACCGGCGAUCAUGAUCGAUUUUGUAGUAAAUCACUUUUGUUUGAAUGCUUUUCAAACAGAAUGUUGUUUCCCAUAGAAAAACAUCGAAGUUUAUGUGUAUUAAGUAUACAUAUGUUACUUUAUUAUAUUUUCAAAUGCA